AUAUAAUUGAUGAUGUGGCCAAGUAAGGAAGAAUUGUGAAACAGAAAAUAUAGCAGUUGCUGAAAGCUAUAUCACCGCUUCUUCACUGAACACCUACCACGGAGAUGUUAUGCAAACAUAACCGAGUCGUUUUCGUUAUCAAACGUGAGAGGGUUUUAAGUUUUGAUUUAAAGCUAAAUCAAGGUGGUACCACGUCGAUCCAGCACAAAGACGUCCUUAUA
rnacentral:ncRNA from 1 species